rnacentral:tRNA from 1 species
GCCCGGAUGGCGGAAUUGGUAGACGCGCUGGUCUCAAACACCAGUGUUCGCAAGAACAUGUCGGUUCGACUCCGACUCCGGGUA